UACGUAGGGACCAAGCGUUGUUCGGAUUUACUGGGCGUAAAGGGCGCGUAGGCGGCAAUUCAAGUCAUCUGUGAAAUCUCCGGGCUUAACUCGGAACGGUCAGAUGAUACUGCUUUGCUAGAGUGCGGAAGGGGCAAUCGGAAUUCUCGGUGUAGCGGUGAAAUGCGUAGAUAUCGAGAGGAACCCCAGAGGUGAAGACGGGUUGCCGGGCCGACACUGACGCUGACAGCGCGAAAGCCAGGGGAGCAAACGGG
rnacentral:rRNA from 1 species